rnacentral:rRNA from 1 species
AGGACGAACGCUGGCGGCGUGCUUAACACAUGCAAGUCGAGCGGUGAUCCUCCUUCGGGAGGUGAUCAGCGGCGAACGGGUGAGUAACACGUGGGCAACCUGCCCCUCACACUGGGAUAACCUCGGGAAACCGGGCUAAUACCGGAUACGACCCCGAGCGGCAUCUCUUGAGGUGGAAAGCUCCGACGGUGAGGGAUGGGCCCGCGGCCUAUCAGCUUGUUGGUGGGUAAUGGCCUACCAAGGCGACGACGGGUA